rnacentral:lncRNA from 1 species
AGCUGCUCAGGAAUUAAAGACUUCUGUACCUACAGUGCUGGAGACAGUUUAAGGCACUCAGAUUUGAGCUAUUCUUUUUUUUGUUUAUUAAUUUCUGUGUCAGUGCUGAAUCUCACCAGAGUACAGAGGAUGCUGAAGAUUGUCCUCCCCACCAUGUCACCAGUGUCACCACACUGUUUGGAGGCUGUGGGCUGUCUCCCCUCUGAGAUGGAUUUCAGACACAGGAUAAAAGCACCCUUGAAUCAGCACUGAAAUUUACUGUCA